UCCGAGUUGACCCCGGCAGUCUCCCACGAGUCCCCGGCAUAACCCGCUGGCAACAUGGGAUAAGGGUUGCGCUCGUUGCGGGACUUAACCCAACAUCUCACGACACGAGCUGACGACAGCCAUGCACCACCUAUCGCAGGCCCUUUCGGACACUACAUCUCUGCAGCUUUUCCUGCGUAGUUCAACCCAGGUAAGGUUCUUCGCGUUGCAUCGAAUUAAACAACACGCUCCACCGCUUGUGCGGGUCCCCGUCAAUUCCUUUAUGUUUUAGUCUUGCGUCCGUACUCCCCAGGCGGGAUGCUUAACGCGUUAGCUUCGCUACUGAGGGGGUCGAUACCUCCAGCAGCUAGCAUCCAUCGUUUACGGCGUGGACUAC
rnacentral:misc_RNA from 1 species